rnacentral:tmRNA from 1 species
UUUAAAUGGACCCAAAGGCGGUAUUUGGUAUUUCCAUUUUUUAAAUUAAUUGGGAAUAAUAUUAGAAUUGACAUUUA